CGCCGGGGGGACCCGUAUUUAUGGGGCAGGGACAACUCGCAGCACCGGAACCUCGUAACCUUCCGCCACCUUGAUGAAGGAAGAAAAAUAGUUCCUCCCGAAAGUUAAAAAUAGAGCCUGGCUUCCAGGUUUCUAGAUUUUUCUUAACGUCGUUUGGACCUGGAGUCCUUCCUAAUACAGGCCUCUCUGUGUAGUGCUGGUUGACCCAAAGGACAGCACCAAUAAAGAAGGAGAGACAAGUUCAUUUUAGCAUGUCGCCUGCUGUCCCCUCAAAGGAGUCCAGACCAAAAAUAGAAGCCCUGAGUUCUUGCUUCUGGCAGGUGUGUCACUGACAAGCGUCCCUGUGACCUUGGGCAAGAAUCUAAUAACAUCUGCAUGGUAAAUUCCUAAUGUAUAAAGAGAGAGGAUGAGAGAAUCCACGAAUGAUGCUGAUUCUGUGAAAUUCUGUAAACAAAGGGGUGGGGAGAGAUGUGGAAGAUUUUAGAUCUCCUGGCUAUGGCUUGAAGGAGUCAUGACCCUGAAAACCACUGAAGCAGCAAAAAUUCAGAAUUAGGAUAAGGCCUGCUGUGAGGACUGCAGCAGAGGCCAGGAAUCCCCCAGAGAACACUGGAGUCUACCUGCCCCUUACAGGUGACAAAGGCCAUCAGCCCUGGUCAAGAGAGUGACUGCUGGGGUCUUUUAGUUUAGUCCCAGGGGGGCAGAGGCAAGACUGGGCAACUGCACUUGCUGAGGAACUGUAUCCUGUCCUGUGAUUUUUAUCUAUAAGGUACUGGAGUGGGGAGGUGCCCAAGAAAACAUCCCAUCCACCCACCUAGCUCCCCAUCUUUCAGAACUGAUUUUUGGAAAGGACUUUGGGACCCUGUGAGCCUCUAAAUCUGCAGCCCAAACCUGGGCUCCUCCCACCGCAGGAAAAAAUCUUUUUUUUUUUCAAAGACAGAGACUUUGAAGCAGAGCUCUGUCUCGGGACAGCAUUAUUUCCAGUGAGCUUUGGACAGAGGACAACCAUACCCUGCAGAGAGGGUAAAAAAUCAAUCAUUGAGGCCCCAGACAUACCCACUUCACGGAGAACCCAGGUCCAGCAAAACAAGUUACAGGAACUGAGAGUGGCUGUGACAUUGCAGCAUUGCAGUUGGGAAGCAGCAGCCUGGGUCUCUCUGUCACGGGAACUGAAGUCACCAGGACAAGAGAAAAAAAAAAGUGUGUGUGUGGGGGACAGUGGAUACUCUUCUUGUUUCUUGUGAAAACAAAGAACUAUCUUCUACAUUGUUUACCUCCUUCAUUGUCUGAGGAAGGGUCAGCAGGUUGAAGGCCCUUGUUGCUAAGCCUGACUUUGAUCCUUUGACCUCCAUCCACAUGGUGAGAGAAAUUAACAGACCCUAACAAGCUGCCCUCUGACCUCCCAACACACAAAAUACAUAGAUGUUACAAAGUCA